UACGGGGGGGGCAAGCGUUGUUCGGAAUUACUGGGCGUAAAGGGCUCGUAGGUGGCCAACUAAGUCGGACGUGAAAUCCCUCGGCUUAACCGGGGAACUGCAUCCGAUACUGGAUGGCUUGAGUUCGGGAGAGGGAUGCGGAAUUCCAGGUGUAGCGGUGAAAUGCGUAGAUAUUGGGAGGAACACCAGUGGCGAAGGCGGCUCACUGGACCGGUACUGACGCUGAGGCGCGAAAGCGUGGGGAGCAAACGGG
rnacentral:rRNA from 1 species